UGAGGAAUUUUCCGCAAUGGGCGCAAGCCUGACGGAGCGACGCCGCGUGAGGGAUGAAGGCUUUCGGGUUGUAAACCUCUUUUGCUUGGGAAAAAGGUCCGCGUGCUCAUACCACGUGGAUUUGAUGGUACUAAGCGAAUAAGCCCCGGCUAACUACGUGCCAGCAGCCGCGGUAAUACGUAGGGGGCGAGCGUUGUCCGGAAUUACUGGGCGUAAAGGGCGUGUAGGCUGUUGGGUAAGUCUGGUGUGAAAUGCUACGGCUCAACCGUGGCACUGCGCUGGAAACUACCUGACUGGAGUGCAGGAGGGGUCACUGGAAUCCCCGGUGUAACGGUGAAAUGUGUAGAUAUCGGGGGGAACACCUGUGGCGAAGGCGGGUGACUGGCCUGCAACUGACGCUGAGACGCGAAAGCGUGGGGAGCAAACAGG
rnacentral:rRNA from 1 species